UCCGUAGGCGGUGCGGCAAGUCGGGAGUGAAAUCUCUGGGCUUAACUCAGGGGCUGCUUCCGAAACUGCCGUGCUGGAGUGUGGGAGAGGCGAGUGGAAUUGCAGGUGUAGCGGUGAAAUGCGUAGAUAUCUGCAGGAACACCCGUGGCGAAGGCGGCUCGCUGGACCACAACUGACGCUGAGGGACGAAAGCUAGGGGAGCAAACAGGAUUAGAUACCCUGGUAGUCCUAGCCCUAAACGAUCAGGACUUGGCGUGGCCCGCGUACGCGGGUCGUGCCGAAGCUAACGCGAUAAGUCCUGCGCCUGGGGAGUACGGUCGCAAGACUGA
rnacentral:rRNA from 1 species